CCACACUUGGUUCAGUUGGUUGACGAAAAACUGUAUAACGUAUGCCCUACUUUAGUAUUUACUCUGUUUAACGCCAGGCGAUUUUACCUGUCAAGGGAAGCAUUUAAGAUAAUAUUUCUGUGCCACCAAAGGGCAGUCUCACUCUCAGAGCCAAACAAAUGUAAUUAGAAUAAUUAAUCAUAGACUCUUGUUUGAAUUUUAGGAAGAAUUGUCUUUGUCACCUCAGGAGCUUGGACCUUUAUCAUAUUUGACUGGCUAUGUGAUAAGAUCUUUAUACCAGAAAAGCAAGAACUGUUAUAGGAGCAAUUCUUCCUGGAACAAAGAAGUCCAAGCCUCGAUGUCAUCAAUGCGACAGGACACAGAGGCCAAUAAAUACAUUUCAUCCUUGUUGAGGGGUGGACCACACUCAUGGAUUGGUCACCACACUCAUGGAUUGUAAGCAUUGCAAGGUGUCAGAGUUAAUAUUUAAAACACACAUCAAAUAAAGACAAGGUCACUGUCUACCAGUAGACACAAUUGUGAAUGAAGUCCUAACUUCUCCUCUUGUGACAAACUUGUGGUGCAACAUUAUUCAAAACUGUGAUGUAGAAACUUCCAUGGAAUGUCAAUCUUUAUGUUUAGAGAAUGUUCAGUCAAAUUAUAUGUAACUGUAAGAUAUUGUAAAUAAAUAUAAGAUAUAAGUCAGGGUACACAGAAAAAGAAAGCUUUAUGAAAAGACUUGAAGACAGGCACAGAUUUUCCGGGGGUGGGAACCCCCCCCCCCCAGAAAUGAUUUGCACCCUCCAGAGGCAUUUGGCACCGCCCCCAAAAGUCUUGGCACUCCCGCAAAUUAUAUAUAUUUUGAUUUGAUAGUUUCAUAUUUGAUUACUCUUACUAAAUUUGUAAAAUUACCAAUAUUAUGGUCUCAGAUCUCACCAUGCAGGCCUAGAAAACAAAUUUUGUUAAACUUUUUCCUUGGCCUUUCCGGGUGUUGCCACCAGGCCCUGGCCUUUCAAAGCAAACAGCACCCCCCCCACCCCCCAGAUAUUUAUCCACACACCCCGAACGAAAAUAUGAAAAUCCGUCUCUGCUUGAAGAUUGCCAGUGAAGAAAAGAAAUAGUCAGGUACAUAAUACAAUAACGUUAUAUCAAUGAUAUUAAAUGUAAAUAUGAUACUGUAUCAAUGAAUUAUCCUCAUAUUUUUAUGUGUAAUCUUUUCAUCAACACAUAGUAAUAACAACAAUAUAUAAAUAUAUACACACAGCUUAAACUACUUUCUCUCAAUUAUGUAAUGUUCAGCCAAAUUUAGUCAUGCAGUUUAAAUAAGCUAAUUGGAGAUAAUAGGCUAACAUAUCUCAAUGUGCUCUUUUAUUCUUUUACUCUGUCAGUGUCUAUCAUCAGACAAUUUUACACAUCAAGGGCAGUGCAUAUUAAGCAUUGCAGCUUAAAGAGUUAAAAUCAUAUGGCAUCAGACAAAUGUUAAAACGAUAAAGUAGGAGCAUUGUGGCUUAAUUAAACAUACAUUGUGUAGUGUAUGAUUUGAGCAUAAUACAAAUUACAUUGCACUUCUAGCUUGGCUGUGGAAUUAAUAACACUAUUGCAGCAAUUUUUGCUCCACCUACUUUUGAUAAAUGACAAAUUUUCAGAAAAUAAAUAGAUACAUACACAGUAAGAACACUCAUGUCAUUCUUAAGUUAACUAAUUGGCAAAUUCCUAUUUAUCAGAAGAAAAUUAACAAUAAAAUCAGCCAAUCUCGUACCACACAACGAUGGGCUCCGGGGACAGCAUAAACAAAGUGUAAAAAG